UACGUAGGGACCAAGCGUUGUUCGGAUUUACUGGGCGUAAAGGGCGCGUAGGCGGCGUAACAAGUCACUUGUGAAAUCUCUGGGCUUAACUCGGAACGGUCAAGUGAUACUGUUAUGCUAGAGUACAGAAAGGGUAAUCGGAAUUCUUGGUGUAGCGGUGAAAUGCGUAGAUAUCAAGAGGAACACCAGAGGCGAAGGCGGAUUACUAGGCUGAUACUGACGCUGAGGCGCGAAAGCUAGGGUAGCAAACGGG
rnacentral:rRNA from 1 species